GUGUCAGCAGCCGCGGUAAUACGUAGGAUCCGAGCGUUGUCCGGAAUUACUGGGUGUAAAGGGUGCGUAGGCGGACUUGUGCGUCAGAGGUGAAAUCCACGGGCUUAACCCGUGGGGUGCCUUUGAUACGGCAAGUCUUGAGUGCGAGAGAGGUGGGUGGAAUUCCUGGUGUAGCAGUGAAAUGCGUAGAUAUCAGGAGGAACACCGAUGGCGAAGGCAGCCCACCGGCUCGCAACUGACGCUGAGGCACGAAAGCGUGGGGAUCAAACAGGAUUAGAUACCCUCGUAGUCC
rnacentral:rRNA from 1 species